ACGAGGUAGGGACAUGGCGUGACGAAGGAUGUCCAAAGGGUGUCCGAAUCGGUAAUCGGGUUCGAAGCACUGAGUCCCGCACGGGUUUAGACACGUCUUAUAGCUAUGCUCACAGACAAGAUCACUCCCACGCGGUGCACUCGGUUGCCUAGAAUCUGAUCCUUCGUCUCGCUGUUCGUCAUGAACUCAGGAAUUUGAUGCAUUCCCUGCGGGUCUUAGGUCUCUUUCUCAUGCCGGGUAGUCUGUAGGAUUUUGUGAUGGUACAAACCGUCUUCGCCGACGGUAAAAGGUACGGUUUAUUCAAAAAGACCGUCUGUUGUUUGCGGGAAAACUUCCAAAAGCAGCAAGUCCCUAUCGGUUUUCGCUCGCCUAGUCGGAUGGUCGUGUCUUCUUGGGGGGAAGAGAUGGAUCCAACUAGGCAUUAGUCCGAGAUGAGUGAACGGUGCUUUCCCCAAAGCAUUGCUCGGACGUGUCCCACGGUAAUUAAUUCACUCGCCUAGGUUGGAUGGUCGUGCCUUUGUUGGAAGUCAUGGAUCUGCCUAGGCAAUGGGUUUAGCUGAGUUGGAGUGUGUCGCCCAUGGACACUUAUUCAGCCAUGGUGACCCGACGAAUUUAAGAUCGGUGAACCGGCCGGAACAAAUUCUAUCGAUCGAAGGUAUGAUACUGCGACCGGGACCUGCAAUAGAAAAUGUCAGUUCCAACGAGGGAAGGACAUUGUGGGGCAAAAGGCUAUGAAUGGACAAUUGGCAGUUGGGAUUGUGUUCCGGUUUAGACAUGUACAUCAUGGUGGUCAAACCGCGGUCAUUCUCUCAGCUGCCUUGAGUCCGCGCCUUUGUUUCGCAGGUGGUUUGAACUCAGGAAUUUGAUGCGUUCUCUGCGGGUCUUAGGUCUCUUCUCAUGCCGGGUAGUCUUUAGGGUUUUGUGAUGGUACAAACCAUCUUCGCCGAUGGUAAAAGGUGCGGUUAAUUCAAUAAGACCGUCUGUUGCUUGCGGGGAAACUCCCAAAAGCAGCAAGUCCCUAUCGGUUUUCGCGCUUGUGCGGCUUUGGCUUGGUUUUGUCUGUCUUCUAUCUGCUCUUUUGAUUCAACAUCCGAAGAGUGGUUGGAAAGAUUGAUGCUAUCAGGUCAACUGAACGUUCGGCGUAUGAGUGGUAAUUGGAUAGCUAGUGUUUGUAGGCUCCGUGCUCGCGCAUCGAACUACAGACCACCUAUCCUUCUCAGUUGCUUCACGAGCAAAUUUAUGCUCGUUGACGAGAUCCGGGGCUUGUGUUGCGUACCUAACUAGAAGGAAUUGUUGAGUUUGGCUUUAAACGUUGUUUACGGCUUAUCCUUCGAUGGGUAUGUUGUGAACACAAAAUUCGGCACUUGUGAUCCUUGCGUGUCUUGGCACUAACAAUGCCUUGUUCGUAAAGGUGAAUAAGCUGUCGGUUGGAAUCUGGGAUGCGGAAAAGUUAUGGACGGUGGCUCGAUUAAUUCAGUCCCGCCAAAGCAAAUUUGUCCCUUGGGCAAAAGAUGACGGUCAAGACCUCGUCUGUUCUUUCUUACAUACGUUUGCGAGAAUUAGUCGGGGUCUGCCGUGAUUAAUGAAUGCUACCUGGUUGAUCCUGCCAGUAGUCAUAUGCUGUCUCAAAGAUUAAGCCAUGCAUGUGUAAGUAUGAACGAAUUCAGACUGUGAAACUGCGAAUGGCUCAUUAAAUCAGUUAUAGUUUGUUUGAUGGUAACUACUACUCGGAUAACCGUAGUAAUUCUAGAGCUAAUACGUGCAACAAACCCCGACUUCUGGAAGGGAUGCAUUUAUU
rnacentral:lncRNA from 1 species